rnacentral:rRNA from 1 species
CGGGGUGAGUAACGCGUGGGUAACCUGCCUCAUACAGGGGGAUAACAGUUGGAAACGACUGCUAAUACCGCAUAAGCCCACGGCUCGGCAUCGAGCAGAGGGAAAAGGAGUGAUCCGCUUUGAGAUGGCCUCGCGUCCGAUUAGCUAGUUGGUGAGGUAACGGCCCACCAAGGCAACGAUCGGUAGCCGGACUGAGAGGUUGAACGGCCACAUUGGGACUGAGACACGGCCCAG